GCCGCCCGCUCCAGAGGGACGGAAGCGGCGGGGCCGCCGGAUCCAGGGACAAUGGGGUGGGGCGGGCUUUCCCUGGGUGGGCGCAGCGGCUUCCUGGGUCCCCCUCACGCUCUGGGUCAGAGUUCCUUUACAGGCGGACCUGAGAGGCAACUCACCGACUCCUGCCCUGGACCCUCCUGCGCCACUGAACCCCCUGACCUGGGAGCCUCGGAACCUAGGGCUCAGGAGCUGGAUCCAGUCCCGGGCUCUC
rnacentral:lncRNA from 1 species